ACGCCUUUCCUAUCCUUACCCUUAACUAUGUUCAUUCAGAAACCAUCUCCUCUGAACACUUAGUUUUUUUUAAAGUGCUAUAUUUGUUGUUAAUCCUCACCUGAGGAUAUUUUCCCAUUGAGUUUUAGAGAGUGAGGAAAUGGGGCGGGAUGGGAGGAUGAGAAACAAUGUCAGAGAGACAUAUCAAUUGGUUGCCUCCCGCAUGCAACCCACCCAGCCGGGGCUGGGGAUCGAGCCUGCAGCUGAGGUACAUGCCCGAGGUACUGUGGGCCGAUGUUCUGUCCACUGAGACAAACUGGCUAGGGCUAAAAUGUUAUUUUCAGUGAACUUUUAGUUUCCAGAUGUGUAUACAUGCGUUAUGUAAAUUAGAACUUGGUUCAGAGACUCCAACACAGAAUGGAACACAAACCUUUGAUUUCAGUGAAAUGCUUUAGAAAAGACUUUAUUUUCAUCUAUUCUGAAGAGAUUGGUCUUACCAGGUAAAUGGUCAAAAAAGUGUGCAAGGAGGCAAUAGGACUAUAUCUCUCCUAUGGAUUCUGACGGAGUGGGAGCACUGUGUAUUGAGGAGGAUUCUGAAGUCAUGUCUGGAAUUGUUGAAAAGAAUGACCUAAUAUGGGUGGAAGAAAUGGUGGUUGGUAGUCAACUCUAGAACAUAGCUUUUUUACUUUUUAUUUUUCCUUCCAAAUAGUACUACUCUUAAAAUGUAUAAGAAGUUGAGUGUUUAUUCUUUAAAGGUAGUUUAUAUCCUAGUUUUCCAGUUUGGGUUAGUUUUUCUAUUCUUAUUACAGACAUUUCUAGGGACUUGCUUCUGGCAUUGGCUAUGCUUAUAUUUUGAAAACUUUUGCUUUUGAACUAAAUAAUGGCUGAUAGUAGCAUUUUACAGCCUUAUCCUAUUACCUUUUCAUUUUUUUUCCCUUCUGCACUUUUCCAUCGGGUAUUCUUUUGAAGCAAGACAAGCCUUUGAUACCCAUCUCAGGAAGGAGGUGGAAUAUAUACUUUAUUGAUGGCUGUUCAUUUUAGGCUGGUGCCUUGCAUGGGGCCAAGAAGCUGUGCCCCAGGGUCUUCUCUGUAUGGAGAGGAGCAGGGAAGAAAGGUUUUGGACUUUAAAUCGUCACUAUUAUAAGUGUAUCACAGGAUCAUGGUAACAAAGAAAAAUUUUAUAAUGAUCAUAAAGAGAAGUAAAAGUUCCCAACCCAUUCUAUCUAGAACACUUUGGUCAUAUUUCUCAACGAUUAAACACUAUUAGCCUUUAUGAUCUUCCAGUAAUUUUUCAUGAUUAUGCAAGCAAUUGGUGUAUGUAUUCUCUUCCCUCCUCCCUUUUAUGGAUAAAUGAAUCUAUAUUAUAUUUCAGGUCCUCCCCCUCUGGGUAACCCCCCCCCCCACCCCCGCAGUUUGCCUGUGUUUCUUUCUUAAUACGUCUUUGGCAUCUUUCCAUAUCUGAACAUAAAAAUCUAACAGAAAGGAUUCUGAGUACAUGAAAUUAGGGAUAGAAGCUCCAGCUUGGAGGCCUUGGUGACUGCCUUCAUCGUUUGGGUGUGAAUUCAUUUAUUUUUCCUGUCCAGGAAAGUUAAAAAAAAAAAAAAAAUUCCAAAUACAAAUGAUUGGAAUGUUCGUAGCUGCUUUUCAGUCGUUGACUCUGACUGAGUCAGCAAUGACAGAAGCCUGGGAAGGGUUAAUAGAUUAUUUUAGGGCACAUAAGCAGGAACUGGAUUAUUUAUAAAUUGGCAGACAGUGGCUGCUUGUGAUUCACUUAAAACCACUCAAAUUUAUAAAUUCCUUAAAAAUCUUAAAAAACAUUCUUAUUGAUUUUUAAAAUCUGAGUUUAAAAAUAAUUUAUGAAGAAUUUACAGUUAAUUAAUGAUAGUACUUGGGCUUUAUUUGUAACGUUCAUAAGAGUAAAUGUUGUAGUUAUGAUUACCUGGUCAGUUUUAAAAUUUGGGGGGAGAGAUGGUUAUUGCUAACAUAAACUCUUUUCAGCUGAAUAUUUUCAAGUGUAACAACUUUGCAAAGGCUUAUGAUAGUAGCUUGGGCAGCAUUUUCUUUAAACAAAUUUUGAUGUAUGACAUAAAGGACACAUUUUUUAAAGUUCCAUUUGUGGGGGGUUUGAAGUAUUUAGACAAGGUUAAAACUUAACAGCUAAGGUCUAAGCAGUUUGUCAGUCAAAUCAAAUCUGUAUUACUGUUUUUUAAAAAAUAUGUUUUUAUUGAUUUCAGAGAAGAGGGAGAGGGGGAGAGGGAUAGAAACAUCACUGAUGGACUGCCUCCUGCACGCCACCUACUGGGGAUUGAGCCUGAAACCUGGGCAUGGGGCUUGAUUGGGAAUCAAUUGGUGACCUCCCUGUGCAAGGAAGAACACUCAAGCUGCUGUGCCGCUCCGAUUGGGUAUGAAUCCUUUGAUUAAAGUGAGAAACCUGGGUUUGAGUUAUAGUCACGUUAGUAUUUUUAGAUUCUCUGGGAGCAUAUGAAUUAGAUAAUGGUGCCAAUUUGAAAACUUCCAUGUAGGCAAUUAAUGUUUGUUUUAAAACUGAGGUAAGAGUCCUGCUGGAGUGGCUCAGUGGUUGAGUGUUGACCUAUGAACUAGGAGGUCAUGGUUUGAUUCCCAGUAGGGCAUGUGCAGGAGGCAGCCCGAUCAGUGAUUCUCUCUCAUCAUUGAUGUUGCUAUCUCUCUUUCCUUUUCCCUUCCACUCUGAAAUCAAUAAAAAGAUAAAACAAAAACAACACAGGUAAGAAGCAUUGGGAUUUCCUCACAUUCACUUAGGGCCAGGAAAUUACUGUGAAGUGUUGGUCAUUGUAUUUGGGUACUUUGGUACACUGAGUACUGCAUACUCCAUAGAGGACAAGAAGGUGACCUAUUACGAAAAUAUAAGUCUUUUUUUCAUUGGUGUGGAUAUGCUAUCAUCAACAACUUAGGAAUCAAAUUACCAAUAACAUAGUGUUUAAAGAUAGUAUUCAAAUUGUGUGAAGUUAGCAAACAGAAAGGAGUAGUUCAUUACAAAAUACUUUAUGUAUAAGUAAGACCCCCUUGGUGACUGAAAAUACAUUAUUUAACAUUUUUAUAUUAUACAUUUUCUAAAUACAUUUUUAAAUUCUACAUUUAAAACACAUAUAUUUUUAUUGAUUUCAGAGAGGGAGAGAGAGAGAGAGAAACACCAAUGAUGAGAGAUAAUCAUUGAUCAGCUGUCUCCUGCAUGUCCCCUACUGGAGAUCAAUUGAGCUUGCAACCCGGGCUUGUGCCCUGAUGGGGAACGGUGACCUCCUGGUGUAUAGGUCAACUCUUAACCACCGAGCCACGCCGGCCGGGCUGAAUUUCUUACAUUUAGGUAUUAGAUUAACUUUCACAAAGAAUGGAAGGACACCAUUAAAUUUAAAAGUAAUUUAAUGGAAGUUACUCCAGUUAAAGGUCAAUUAGAUAUUAAAGUGAAAGCUUCUCACAUUCCAUAAAGCCUGUGAGCGUUGGAUACAGUUCAUGUGUGGGAAUUCAGUCGUUGAUCCAAAGGUUAUUGUGAUGUCCAGCACUGCAGUAGGGGAUAGUCCAGAAAUAUAAGAGGUCUUUAACUGAACCUUCUCGAACUUCUUGAGAGCGAAAUAAAUAAGAAUGGAAACAGUAGAGAAAAUUGAUAUUUUGAGGAAGAAGCUAGCCUUUCUGAGUAUGAGCCAUAAGAUAAUUAAAAUCACUAGGGUAUAAUUCUUAUUACAGCUGUAGAGUUUAUGGCCGGAUAAAUGGUCCCUGUUCAACCACAGAGAGUAAUUCUGGUAACUGGACAAGUUUGUUUUCCUCAAAUGGGUCCCUCUUUCCCAGGAAAGGCGUUGAAUAAACAUCCUCAAAAUCUUAAUCAUCUUAUUCUUUUGUGAAAGCCCUUCUCUCCUUGUCCCUGAGUUGAUUUCUCAUUCUUAGAGUCACAUACCAGUCAUGCCUCCCUGGGACACACCCUGGUCACUGAACUUGUUCCCUUACAAAUUCCUGAACCACCUUCGGGAUGGGUUCCUGCAGCUAAUGGCUGCUCUUAGUAUUACUGGUGUCUGCCCCCGGCCCCCCCCUUCCCCCCAAGGAAACUUCAGUUUCAAGGUUGUCAGGUACAUUGCUAUCUCAUGGACAGCUCCAUGUCUCACCAUAAUCCAUGAAUGGUAAUCCAGUAAUCUUUCCAGCAGUGGCCACACUGAAGCUGCUGGUCUAGUUGUGUACUUGCUGCGUCUCCCUGUGGACCAUCCGUAUCUUGUUCACCGUGUCUCUGGCAUCAAACUCCAUGCACGUUUAAUUGGAUUAAUAUUAGCUGAUC